GACGAACGCUGGCGGCGUGCUUAACACAUGCAAGUCGAACGGAAAGGCCCUGCUUUUGUGGGGUGCUCGAGUGGCGAACGGGUGAGUAACACGUGAGUAACCUGCCCUUGACUUUGGGAUAACUUCAGGAAACUGGGGCUAAUACCGGAUAGGAGCUCCUGCUGCAUGGUGGGGGUUGGAAAGUUUCGGCGGUUGGGGAUGGACUCGCGGCUUAUCAGCUUGUUGGUGGGGUAGUGGCUUACCAAGGCUUUGACGGGUAGCCGGCCUGAGAGGGUGACCGGCGACGGUGGGGGGGGGGUAGGGCGCCGACGGGGGGGGGGGGGAGCGGUGGGGGGAGUGCGCGGGCGGGCGGGCGAGGGAGGCACGAGCGGGGGGUGUGGGGCGGCGGCUCUGGGGCUGGUAGCCGGUGGCGCGGGUGACGGGGGGUGAGUGGCGGUAAGGGGGAACGACGCACAGGGGAAGUACGGGCCUGAGGCAGCGGAAAGUGGAGGACGAGCACCCUUACCAAC
rnacentral:rRNA from 1 species